CAGUCGCCGCGGGAAUACGUAGGUGGCAAGCGUUGUCCGGAAUUAUUGGGCGUAAAGGGCUCGCAGGCGGUUUCUUAAGUCUGAUGUGAAAGCCCCCGGCUCAACCGGGGAGGGUCAUUGGAAACUGGGAAACUUGAGUGCAGAAGAGGAGAGUGGAAUUCCACGUGUAGCGGUGAAAUGCGUAGAGAUGUGGAGGAACACCAGUGGCGAAGGCGACUCUCUGGUCUGUAACCGACGCUGAGGAGCGAAAGCGUGGGGAGCAAACAGGAUUAGAUACCCCAGUAGUUCCUGUCUCUUAUAC
rnacentral:rRNA from 1 species